GACGAACGCUGGCGGCGUGCUUAACACAUGCAAGUCGAACGAAGUGGCGAACGGGUGAGUAACGCGUAAUCAACCUGCCCUUCAGAGGGUGACAACAGUUGGAAACGACUGCUAAUACCGCAUACUGAAGGAGGGGCUUGCGUCUGAUUAGCUAGUUGGAGGGGUAACGGCCAACCAAGGGGAUGAUCAGUAGCCGGGCUGGAAGGAUGAACAGCCACAUUGGGACUGGGACACGGCCCAGACUCCUACGGGAGGAAGCAGUGGGGAAGCUUCCGGAAUGGACGAAAGUGUGACGGGGCAACGCCGCGGGAGUGAUGACGGCCUUCGGGUUGUAAAGCUCUGUUAAUCGGGACGCGGUACCGGAAUAGAAAGCCACGGCUAACUACGUGCCAGCAGCCGCGGUAAUUC
rnacentral:rRNA from 1 species